rnacentral:tRNA from 1 species
GGGCGUUUAGCUCAGUUGGAAGAGCCCCUGCUUUACACGCAGGUGGUCGGGGGUUCAAGUCCCUCAGCGCCCACCA